GAUGAACGCUAGCGAUAGGCUUAACACAUGCAAGUCGAGGGGCAGCAUAGAUAUAGCUUGCUAUAUUUGAUGGCGACCGGCGCACGGGUGAGUAACGCGUAUGCAAUCUACCUCGUACAAGGGGAUAGCCCGGAGAAAUUCGGAUUAAUACCCUAUAGUAAUUGAGAUUCGCAUGGAUUUCGAUUUAAAAAUUCAUUGGUAUGAGAUGAGCAUGCGUUCCAUUAGCUAGUUGGUAAGGUAACGGCUUACCAAGGCAACGAUGGAUAGGGGAACUGAGAGGUUUAUCCCCCACACUGGAACUGAGACACGGACCAGACUCCUACGGGAGGCAGCAGUGAGGAAUAUUGGUCAAUGGACGAGAGUCUGAACCAGCCAAGUCGCGUGAAGGAUGACUGCCCUAUGGGUUGUAAACUUCUUUUAUAUGGGAAUAAAAGAUGCUACGUGUAGUAUAUUGCAUGUACCAUAUGAAUAAGCAUC
rnacentral:rRNA from 1 species